rnacentral:lncRNA from 1 species
UUUCUCAAGAAACAUUUUCUCAAACCUUUUGAACCAUCAUGUACUAGAGACCGACUAAGCAAGUCAGCGGAACUAGGCAUAACCUGUCAUACCAUGAAAGCAUUAUAUAUGCACUAAACAUGUAUUGAUAAACAUUGCAAAGAAAAUUCGAAAAAAGUUAGUUUUGUACUUUUAUUUAUAAAAAUAAUCAAACAAAUACCAUCACAAAUAUUAAACAAAGACAAAUGAUACAUUAAACGAUUGGAGGAAAUAGUACAAACCUACACAAAAGCAAAGCUGUAAUAAAAAUGGUGUGUUGUCGACAAAUUAUCCAUCCUAAAGAUACUAAAAAUAUUUUGGUUUUAUUAUAAUUCUUUUUCAAUUGUAUAGAACUGUUAUACUUGUAUUUACAUAAACCUGGCUUAGUCUGAUCCAUGGACAGUUUAUAUAAAAUAUUACACAUUUAUUUUUGCAAUUGAUAUUUUGAAUUGUAGUUCAUUUGUAAAAAUCAUUCAACACGAUAGGCCUUUAGCACUAUAGUCGACUGAAUAAAAACUGAUUAGAUCAGAAUAUGCAGCAUGUGUACAGUUAGAUAUAUAAUUUCUGUAUAUUAUCUGCGUAGAUAUGUUUGUCCAAUCCAGCUGGAGCAUUUUAAAUAUUUAAUAGAAAAUAAGAAAACAUAUAUUCGAGCGACCAGCACUUGAAUUGAAAUAUAUAAAUGCCUUACACAUUCAGUUUUUUCUACUAUCAAAUAGUUAUUUGCUAUAAUUUUAUUUAAAGACACACUGAUUUCAGAGUAUUUUAAUUUCAGAAGGCAAGGUUCUCUUUUUAUUUGUGAUUUAUUAUCAAAAUAGUUGUUAUUACUUAAGAAUUGAAUGCUUCUUUUGUAACUUCAUUGGGGUGUAAAAGCGUUGACCGAAGUACAUUUUGUAUGUGCGCACGGUAAACGCGUUUACAACCCUAUGAAGUUACAAAAAGAAGCAUUCAAUACUUAUCAUUACAUGGCUCCGAUUGCUUUAUAUGUGUUUUAUUCUAAAUAAGACGAUUAAAGCAAAUUUUACAGUAUGGUUUAAACUGAUACACUGUCGUUGGAAAUGGGGA